UAUAAAUAUGCAUAUAUAUUUAAAUUCUACGUGCGUAUUUAUGUAAUAUUUUUACAUAAUUCAGUAAUUUUAUUGAUUGCAAUUUGAGGGACCUGCCUGCCAACACAGGCCGAAAUUCCAGAGAAUUUAAUUUGCUAGCACUGUAUUUUACCCUGUAACGUUCUACGACACCCUAAAACCUGUACAUGGGGGGUACUGUUUUACUCGGGAGACUUCGCU